UCUCCAGUGCUAAGUAAGAAAAUGUGCCAGU
rnacentral:piRNA from 1 species